GCCGGUAUAGCUCAGUUGGCAGAGCAGCGCAUUCGUAAUGCGAAGGUUGGAGGUUCGACUCCUCUUACCGGCACCA
rnacentral:tRNA from 1 species